UACACAUAGAUAUAUUUCAAGUAUUUUUCUAACCUACAAGUUGUCUAAAUUUUUGUUUGAACUUUGAACUUUGAACUUCAAACAAAUGUGGGCUCUUGAUCCAUGGCAUAUUAUAAUAAUCUACUUAGGAAGUGCCAUAGCCUUAGCAAAGGUGGUACAAAACAAAUUGAUACAAAAUAGCUACAUGAAGAUUCUCUAAUGAUCUUGUCCUAAGAUUAUUGAAAACCAAUGUGAAUAGGUAGUACUCCAUACUAUAUUAUUCAAAAUAGUUCACAGUACACAAUAACAUGUGACAAAUUUAAUUUAAUUAUAAAAUAUAAAUAAAUAAAUAAAUAAAUAAAUAAAUAAAGUCAUUAUUGUCUUAAUCUUAAAUGAAGUGAAAUUGUAGGUCUUAUUUGAAUCCUGUAACUAAUAAAAGAAGAUUUAAAAUACAAACUGAAAAAUAAUCUUGCAAUUAAUUUUAUAUUCCAAGAAUGUAUUAUAAUAUAAUAAUGUUUUAGUAUUGCAACCAUUAAUUUUAAAAUUUAACCUUUUAUUAAUUUUGAUAACAAUCCUUUCUUGAAGAUACUGUUAUAUCAAUGAAUUUUACAAAGAAAAUGUUGUUGAAAAAGCACUAUCUUGAUACCUUAUGUUGAAAGAGAAUGCAUGUGUGUGUAUAUAAAUAUAUAGAUGUAUUACCUCUAAAUCAAUGUAUUUUGCAUCUUUGUAGUCAUUUAAAACAUUGCUUUGCAAGUAGUAAUAACUGUUGUACAUCUUCGUUUAAAAACGAUACUUCUGUUUAUCAACAAAAAUUAGAAUCUUAAAAUUUAGGAGAGAUGAAAGUAAUAUGUUGUAUUUGUAGUAUGCUUUUGACAAAAUUCUUUUUAAAUAAAUCGAAAAAAAUGCAUGCCUGCAACUGUAUCUUGGUAUUUUAAAAUAUCAAAUAAUGGUAAGAUUAUAUUUUUUAAAAUUUUAUUAUGAAAUAGGUUUUCUUUUUAAAAAAUAAUAACAAAGAUAAAUAUCAUUUCUACCACAAGGGUUAUUAUAAAUUUGUCUUUUAUGAUUUUUUAACACCACAAAAAAAUAACAAAAAAACAAACAAACAAUAAAAAAAGAAACAAAAGAAACAUAAAACCUAAAUUUUGUAAAAUUUGAAUACAAACAAACACAUAUUGAAGAUUUCAGAUAUGCUUACACAUGAGGAUUCCCAGUGAUUGAUGUAAUUUUAAAUAAUUUUCAUACAGUUUAUAAUCAAAUUUUAAAUCUAGAAUAAAGGAACAUGUAGAUGUUAUAA
rnacentral:lncRNA from 1 species